rnacentral:rRNA from 1 species
GACGAACGCUGGCGGCGUGCUUAACACAUGCAAGUCGAACGGAAAGGCCCUGCUUGCAGGGUACUCGAGUGGCGAACGGGUGAGUAACACGUGGGUGAUCUGCCCUGCACUUCGGGAUAAGCCUGGGAAACUGGGUCUAAUACCGGAUAGGAGCCAUUUUUAGUGUGAUGGUUGGAAAGUUUUUUCGGUGUAGGAUGAGCUCGCGGCCUAUCAGCUUGUUGGUGGGGUAAUGGCCUACCAAGGCGGCGACGGGUAGCCGGCCUGAGAGGGUGGACGGCCACAUUGGGACUGAGAGACGGCCCAGACUCCUACGGGAGGCAGCAGUGGGGAAUAUUGCACAAGGGGCGCAAGCCUGAUGCAGCGACGCCGCGUGGGGGAUGACGGCCUUCGGGUUGUAAACUCCUUUCGCUAGGGACGAAGCUUUUUGUGACGGUACCUAGAUAAGAAGCACCGGCUAACUACGUG